UACGUAGGGUGCAGGCGUUAAUCGGAAUUACUGGGCGUAAAGCGUGCGCAGGCGGCUCCUUAAGUCAGAUGUGAAAGCCCCGGGCUUAACCUGGGAACUGCAUUCGAGACUGCAUUGCUAGAGUAUGGGAGAGGGAAGUGGAAUUUCCGGUGUAGCGGUGAAAUGCGUAGAUAUCGGAAGGAACAUCAGUGGCGAAAGCGACUUCCUGGACCAAUACUGACGCUCAUGUGCGAAAGCGUGGGGAGCAAACAGG
rnacentral:rRNA from 1 species